AGGAUGCUGACACUGUUCUAGAGCCCUCUCAGUCUGGGACCACAUGUGACAAAAACCCAGAAAACAUAAAAGGAGUGUAUAAACGCUACCUCCUUAAACAAAUGGAAGCGAUUGAUAUCGACAUCCAGUAUAAAAAACUGAAGAUGAGGAAGUUGGAGCUGGAAAUUCAACAGCUACAGAAAAAUGCAAGUAGAACUACCAUUUUUUAAAAAGGAAAAGAAAAAAAACGUUACCUUUUUGAUCACUUUCCACAAAAUUUAUUUGUGUGUUUUUACCCCUAACAGGCAGAUUCACUCUGAAUAAAGACAAAUCACAUUAAAUA